UGGCGAACGGGUGAGUAUACAUCGGAACGUACCCAGGAGUGGGGGACAACCUCGAGAAAUCGAGGCUAAUACCGCAUACGCUGAGGGAAAGCGGCGCUCAUGGAGCGGCCGAUGUCGGAUUAGCUAGUUGGCGGGGUAAGAGCCCACCAAGGCGACGAUCCGUAGCUGGUUUGAGAGAACGACCAGCCACACUGGGACUGAGACACGGCCCAGACUCCUACGGGAGGCAGCAGUGGGGAAUUUUGGACAAUGGGGGCAACCCUGAUCCAGACAUGCCGCGCGAGUGAAGAAGGCCUUCGGGUUGUAAAGCUCUUUCGGCCGGAACGAAUGACGGUACUGGAAGAAGAAGCACCGGCUAACUACGUGCCAGCAGCCGCGGUAAUACGUAGGGUGCGAGCGUUAAUCGGAAUUACUGGGCGUAAAGCGUGCGCAGGCGGUUCCGCAAGUCAGAUGUGAAAUCCCCGGGCUUAACCUGGGAACUGCGUUUGAAAC
rnacentral:rRNA from 1 species